CGAGCAGGCAGGGUGGUUGGCUGCUGCUACAGAAUCACUGUGCAUGAAGAAUUGUAGCCAGCAUCUCAAGCCCCUUGCUGUAUAUAGAUCUGAUGACCACUUCCUUAGAGAUUCAAAUGGAUGGAUCCUGACUUAAUAUAGCCUCUUCUGAAUGAAAGGGAAGACUUGUCACAUACCAAAUCCAAAGAGAAGUGCACCUUUUCUUCCUAAUAAAGGACUGGGCAAGAUGCUGCCUAUGGGACAUACAUGGUCUACAAAGAAUACCUGAAUGGCUUGCAGAAACAGGUUAGAUCUUCUCUGCAUUUCUGGAAGCAUCCUCUAAGGACUUAAAUAUCAAAAGAUUAAGA